GGCGAGAUAGCUCAGUUGGCUAGAGCAUGCGGUUCAUACCCGCAGUGUCGGGGGUUCAAAUCCCUUUCUCGCUACGA
rnacentral:tRNA from 1 species